GAGGGUAGGACAGAUAGACAAAACCAAUUUAUGCCUAUAUGUAAGCUCAAUGGCAAAGCACUGACGAGAAAUUGACUCUCUCUGAUGGAAGACAAUAACCGAACUUAAUCUGGGUAAGGUUCGGUCAAAUCUAUAAAAGGAAAAAAAUUUAAACUUUAUAAGGAUUUCAGAAUAUUAUAUUAAUGAAGACGCAUGAAAUCAUAUCACCACAUAUAAAGGUAAAAUUCUCUUGGGCGAGUUCACGCCUGUGGAUGCUGAUGAAACCCAAAUAUUAAAGCCCAAUAAUUCUCGGCAAGUAAAUAUCACUCUCCUGUCCCACAUGGUGAAUGACUUCAUACUCAAUAAUUGCCACCUUCACUCUGAGUUCUAGUGUACUGGACUGUACUCGGCCAACAAAAAACUCGGAGACGAUAUUAAUGUCACCUUCAUGAUCAUCCUCCACUUGCGGUAGAUUGUUAAUCAGCAUUUGAUCAGAAACAAUGAACCUGUUGGAGUCGACAGAAUUUGUGGAGAACCUUUUCAAAAUAAAUAAUCUUGUGCAACUUUAUGAGAAUUCUCAAUGAUGAAGAUCAACAUUCCUCUCAAAAACAGCAUCAGGCUAGGAGUAUAUUCUUCUAUUCUUUCGAAGCUCUGAAGUAAAAGCUAUAAAAUCUCACCCUUAGGAUUUUAUUUGAAUUCCAUUUCUC
rnacentral:lncRNA from 1 species